CUUUCAGCAACGGAUCUCUUGGCUCUCGCAUCGAUGAAGAACGCAGCGAAAUGCGAUAAGUAAUGUGAAUUGCAGAAUUCAGUGAAUCAUCGAAUCUUUGAACGCACCUUGCGCUCCUUGGUAUUCCGAGGAGCAUGCCUGUUUGAGUGUCAUAGU
rnacentral:rRNA from 1 species